AGCUCCAGUAGCGUAUAUUAAAGUUGCUGCAGUUAAAAAGCUCGUAGUUGGAUUUCUGAUUAUAUGAACCUGAUCCGCCGUCGUUUAAGAUGUGUGAGUAUUGGUGUUUGUUAAUCAUCCUUGAAGUGCAUGUAUCUACCCUUUAUUGGGCCGGGUAUCUAUGAACUUCAUCAUUUACUUUGAAAAAAUUAGAGUGUUCAAAGCAGGCAUUAUCGCUGUGAAUACAUUAGCAUGGAAUAAUAAGAUAGGACUUUGGUGCUAUUUUGUUGGUUUUCAGUACUGAAGUAAUGAUUGAUAGGAUAAGUUGGGGGUGCUAGUAUUCGAUGGCCAGAGGUGAAAUUCUUGGAUUCAUUGAAGACUAACUGAUGCGAAAGCGUUCACCAAGUCUUUUUCCU
rnacentral:rRNA from 1 species